rnacentral:misc_RNA from 1 species
UACAGAAGCCUCGAGCGUUACCCGGAAUCAUUGGGCGUAAAGAGCUCGUAGGCGGUUCAGCAAGUCGGCUGUGAAAGUCCGAGGCUCAACCUCGGAAUUGCAGUCGAUACUGCUGUGACUCGAGUCCGGUAGAGGAGAAUGGAAUUCUCGGUGUAGCGGUGAAAUGCGCAGAUAUCGAGAGGAACACCAGUAGCGAAGGCGGUUCUCUGGGCCGGCACUGGCGCUGAGGAGCGAAAGCGUGGGGAGCAAACAGG